CAGGAAAGGCAGUCCAAGGAGUGAAACCAACACCAGGAAAGGCAGUCCAAGGAGUGAAACCAGCACCAGGAAAAGCAGUCCAAGGAGUGAAACCAGCACCAGGUAA